rnacentral:rRNA from 1 species
CCUACGGGUGGCAGCAGUGAGGAAUAUUGGUCAAUGGGCGAGAGCCUGAACCAGCCAAGUCGCGUGAGGGAGUACUGCCCUAUGGGUUGUAAACCUCUUUUGUCGGGGAGCAAAAGCCGGACGUGUCCGGCUGUGAGAGUACCCGAAGACAAAGCAUCGGCUAACUCCGUGCCAGCAGCCGCGGUAAUACGGAGGAUGCGAGCGUUAUCCGGAUUUAUUGGGUUUAAAGGGUGAGCAGGCGGAGUUUUAAGUCAGCGGUAAAAUCGUGGGGCUCAACCCCAUCCAGCCGUUGAAACUGGGGAUCUAGAGUGUGCGAGAGGUAUGCGGAAUGCGUGGUGUAGCGGUGAAAUGCAUAGAUAUCACGCAGAACCCCGAUUGCGAAGGCAGCAUACCGGUGCACAACUGACGCUCAGGCACGAAAGCGUGGGUAUCGAACAGGAUUAGAUACCCUAGUAGUC